GUCACUUUGUUAUUUUGUUUUCUUCCAGGUGCCACGGGCUUCCUCCCCAGGCAUUGGAGUUGUUGCGGUGCAGGUGAUGAAGGCAAAUGUGGUGAGCAAAGGAAGAUCAGUGUGGAUGCGGCUGCUGCUGAGGAUGGCUCUUGAGGACCGGUGACCUACAGCACUGCCACAGUUAAGUUGAGGGGCAAAGGGUGUUGGGGCAUCCUCAGUUUCUGUGUAUGUGUGUGUGUGUGCUGAUGUUCAGUGUAGAGUGGAGGGUUGUUCUGGAUGAGUGGUGUGUGUGAGGCAGAGGCAGUGGGGUGUGCAUGGCAGAAAGUGAGGGUGGAUGUCAGGCAGGGCAGCUCCAGCCUGUGUCUGUGUUGUUGUGUAGUGUAUGUGGUGUGUGUUGUAGCUGUGCUAUCUUUUGCUCAGGUCUUGAUGUUGCUCUUGCUCUUUGUGCUCAAGGAGCACAGCCUAUGCUCUGCAGCAGUAGUGUGGCAGGCAUCCAUUGUCUUUUGCCUGGCCAGACUCAUCAGCAUUGCUCCAAUGGACUAUGUCUUGUUCUGCAUAGGCAGCUGAAAGGGGUGGUCUGUGACUCUGACUGUGCAUCGUGGCCGUUUGUGGUCCGUCAUAGUCGUGGCCACCGUUGAGGCCUCAUCGGCCACACCUCUUCCGGGGCCGCUUUUGUCUUGCGUCUCGCUGGCGCCCUUUCAGGGUUUCCUUCCCUGCGUCAUCAUGGCCUCGGGUCUUUCUCGCCGGCCUCCUCUGCGUCAGUCUUCUGAGCUUUGCCGGUCCCUUUCCAUCCUGGGCAUUGACGUUUGACUCUUUUCUGGGCUCGUCCAGAGCCUCGGCCCUACGACGCCACGACCGUGCGGCUCUUUCUGGCCGGCAGUCUUAUGUGUGGGAAUAGGGUUUUUUUUGUGUAGGGCUGUCCUCUGUGUUUGUGUCUGCUGUUUGUUUGUCUGUGUGUUUUUGGGGCUGGAGCUGCCUUGCCUGUGGGUGUUAGCCAUGGUGGUGUGUGGAGUGUGUCCGUGAUGGACUGGAGUGGUGGUGUUGCGGGCAUCGCCUGAGUGUGUGACUUCUCUCUGUGCUUGCAGGUUUUGCGGGAAGUUGUGGAGAGAAGCAGCUGAGUGCUGAGAAGAGCCUGAGCAGGUCCGCUGUGGGCCUUUCCCAGGCGUGGCUGAGACUUUCAGGCGCCACGGGCUUCCCCCCAGGCAGGAUGUUGGCGUUUGGAGUUGUUGCGGUGCAGGUGAUGAAGGCAAAUGUGGUGAGCAAAAGAAGAUCAGAGGGUGUGGCUGCUGCAGAGGAUGUGUCUGCUGUUGAGGAUGCCUCUUGAGGAGCAACAGUGAUGCAGAGCACUGCAAAAGCGAAGUGCAUGGGCAAAGGGUGUUGCGGGGUGUGUGUGUGUGUGUGUGUGUGUGUGUGUGUGUGUGUGUGUUGGUGUGUGUGAGGCAGAGGCAGUGGGGUGUGCAUGGCAGAAAGUGAGGGUGGGUGUCAGGCAGGGCAGCUCCAGCCUGUGUCUGUGUUGUUGUGUAGUGUAUGUGGUGUGUGUUGUAGCUGUGCUAUCUUUUGCUCAGGUCUUGAUGUUGCCCUUGCUCUUUGUGCUCAAGGAGCACAGCAUAUGCUUUGUAGUGCUAGUGCAACAGGCAUCUGCUGUCUUUUGUCUGGUCUUGACCGACUCAUCUGUGUUGCUCCAAUGAUCAUCUUGUUCUGUGCAGGCAGCUGAAAGCAGCAGUCUGUCACUGUGAUUCUGCAUUGUUUCUGGCCAAUCAUCUUGGCAGCCAUCAUUCAGGUCUUGUUGGUCGUGUGUUUUCUGAGGCCUCUCUUAUUUUGCAUCUUCCUGGUGCCCUUUCAGGGUUUUCUUCCCUGUGUCAUCAGAGCCUCGGGUCUUUCUUGCUGGCCUCUUCUGCAUGGCCGUUCCUCGCUUUGCCGGCCCCUUUCCAUCACAGAUGGUGGCAUCUGACUCUUUUCUGGUCUCGUGGAGAGCACCAGAGCCGCACGGUCGUGGCAUUGUAGGGCUUUCUGGCUGGCAGCAUCUUCUGUGCUGGCAUUGUUUUUUGCAUGGAGGGUGUGUGUACGUGUCUGUGUGUACGUGUCUGUGUGUACGUGUCUGUGUGUAUGUGUCUGUGUGUAUGUGUCUGUGUGUAUGUGUCUGUGUGUAUGUGUCUGUGUGUACGUGUCUGUGUGUACGUGUCUGUGUGUACGUGUCUGUGUGUACGUGUCUGUGUGUGUGUUUGGAGCUGCCUUGCCUGUGGGUGUAGUAAUGGUAGUUGCCAGAGCAGAAUAAUGUAUCUAUGAAACACUUAUUUUGUUUUUUCUUUUUU